AUUGAACGCUGGCGGCAGGCCUAACACAUGCAAGUCGAGCGGAUGAAGGGAGCUUGCUCCUGGAUUCAGCGGCGGACGGGUGAGUAAUGCCUAGGAAUCUGCCUGGUAGUGGGGAUAACGUCCGGAAACGGGGGCUAAUACCGCAUACGUCCCGAGGGAGAAAGUGGGGGAUCUUCGGACCUCACGCUAUCAGAUGAACCUAGGUCGGAUUAGCUAGUUGGUGGGGUAAAGGCCUACCAAGGCGACGAUCCGUAACUGGUCUGAGAGGAUGAUCAGUCACACUGGAACUGAGACACGGUCCAGACUCCUACGGGAGGCAGCAGUGGGGAAUAUUGGACAAUGGGCGAAAGCCUGAUCCAGCCAUGCCGCGUGUGUGAAGAAGGUCUUCGGAUUGUAAAGCACUUUAAGUUGGGAGGAAGGGCAGUAAGUUAAUACCUUGCUGUUUUGACGUUACCAACAGAAUAAGCACCGGCUAACUUCGUG
rnacentral:rRNA from 1 species